UACAGAGGUCCCGAGCGUUGUUCGGAUUCACUGGCGUAAAGGGUGCGUAGGUGGCCAUGAAAGUUUGAUGUGAAAUCUCCGGGCUUAACCCGGAAAAUGCAUUGAAUACUCUGUGGCUGGAGGUUUGGAGGGGGACUGGAAUUCUCGGUGUAGCAGUGAAAUGCGUAGAUAUCGAGAGGAACACCAGUGGCGAAGGCGGG
rnacentral:rRNA from 1 species